rnacentral:ncRNA from 20 species
UCGAAUAGAAGAGGCGCGACCAACAAGAGUCGCUUUCCGGAGAUGGGUCACAUUGCUGAUGGAAGGUUAAAGGGGCGGUCGCCGAAAUUUACGCAUUUUGACCGGAUGCGUGGGUUGGGUCCUGGUUGAACAAGUCAGGGACUGUCGCAGUCAAAUAAUCGGCUGCGGGGCGCUUUCAACGAU